CACUUCUUUGACAUCAGAUAUCGAGAUUUCCUGCUCUUUAAGUGAGGAAAGUGUCGAGGCAAAGCAGAAAGGCGUAACAGUUAAAUCAUCGGCCACGUGAUAAGUUGGAGAUCCUUUAAGAUAACUUCCCUGCCCAUUGGGAAACUUAACAGAAGAAAAAUUGUAUUUACGAUCAUAGUCAGCAGGCAAGGAUUCUUCAGUGAGGGGGAAAAUGUAGUCUUUCGAAACAUAGCCAUGAGGUAGAGUGGGAUUCAUUAGCCUCUUUUUCGUAUCCGGGGUAAUGAAAUGCUUGCUAUCUAUAACGUCGGAUGUGUUCCGGUACAAGUUGUCUAUAGCCUUAACACAAGUGCUACCGGCAAGAAGAUGCUCAACUCCUCCAAGUGGGAUGUAGAGGAAACUAAACAGAAACUCUACAAACUGUUUAUUAGCUUGAGCAUACACAACCUUACCAGUAGAUUGUUGUAUCAUCACUUUCAAACUUAAAUUCCUAGAGUUAUUGGGAUUCUCUUCGUCUCCACUGUGUGGUUGAGACACCAUGAGUGUAGAGUAAAUCAGCUGUGUUGUUUUAUUUAGGAUGAUGUCCGACAAUGGAGUUGGGGACGUCAAGGAUGCCUUCAACAAAUUCAUAACCUAAUAGAAAUUAAGAGAUAACAAGUUAAAGAAAAUUUAGUGGGAGAUAUAAUAUAAAACAACCUUUAAUAACUUUGUUGUCUAUAGCUUAAUAGACAACUACUUUACUAUAUAUCUUUAAAUGUUGUCUAUGUUAUAUGUCUAUAUACGUUUUUCACGUAGUGUGGAAACAAAUUAAAAUUACCUCAUUGAAGCCCAAAUCCACUUUGAUUUGCUCGGCGUUAUCCAUGUCUGUAAUGCCAAGAAAGCUAAUGAUUCCUAAGAAUCCUGUCUCAUUUGGAAAUAUGUGGAGAUCAUCAGAGAUUAUGAAAGAUGAUGUAUUCAUGGUGAAAACUCCAUCUCUAGAUGCAGCAGCUUCAGACCCUUUCUUACCUACUUCUUUAAUCAUACUAUCAUGUAAGCAAAUUUUGCACCUAUUGACAUGAUCAUAGUAGAUGCUUAGGCUACGAAAUCUAUUAGGCUGAUGAGUGUGAUACCGAAUGAUGGGAUAUUUACUACAAUAGAAAUAUUCAGCAGGCUGAAAAUCAGUGAUAUCGAGUUUCAGCCUCCUGUAUUCAUCUUCCAAUGAACUUGUUGGAUCAAGCAGAGUCUGCUUAGCUCCAUCAGUCCAGAAAUAUGCACUGUCGAGAUUUACUAAGCUACGGUACAAACUGCUUAAGCUACCAAUGGUAGGCGCCUCGUCUCCAUAGUGCUUCUCGAGGACUUUCACAAUUCUUCCCAAUGGCAAACUCAAGAAGCUUAACAAAAUGUCUGCAAAAUGGCUGUCGGAGUCUGCGAAGAGCACCUUAGUUCUCUCUUUAUUGAUCAUCACUUUCAACGAAAAUGUCGCACCUUUUUUAUCAUCAGCCAUUCUUGAAAUAUAUAUAUGUGGUACAAACAAAGAAAUAUUUGAAUAAUGUAAACGAAAGAUUUCAGCAAUCCCUGCAAUUUUAUGGGGGAAGAAGUUAACCUAAGAGUCGUUAGUUUACUCCCUCCAAAUUAAUUGGCAAAUUCCAAGACUCUCUACAAAUUCCAAGAAUCGUUACAAAAAUUAACCAAGCGCCACUAGUCCCACCAAAUUUCAAGAUCCAUCCGAUUUAUUUGAUUAAUUUCCCGAUUUAUUUAUUCCAAAAAAAUAGAUUUUAUUUUAGAUUGAAAAAGUGAAGUAGCAGUACCUCUUCCAAAUAAGUGUCAAUUUGUCCAACAAAAUUCCAAGAUUAUCUGCAUUGAUCACUCUCCCUUUUUACGAGUCACAGAAAUUAACCAAACGUUGCACCAAAUUCCAAGACCUUCUAGAGUCGAGAAGAAUAAUCUGCUUAACUGUAUAUAUUGGUAUUUAUCAUACGAGAAUAAUUAGAAAGUCAAAUCAACAAUAUGUAUUCUUGUGCUAAAUAAUACUAAACACUAGAUUGAUCUGUACUAAAUUAGCUAAUACAGUGUAUUAGCCAAUAUCAAACACGCACUUAGUUUAGUUUGGCUUCUAUUUAGUGUUGAACAAUAUAUAUUCUUGUGGUUGAAUGUAUUUGCGUUGUGAUUGUCUAUUCAUUUAAGCAGUUUGCAAUAGCUUUGGUGCUUGUAUUGUUGUGCAAAUUUUGAUCUUGUUUUAGUGAUUUCACUACGGAUCAAUGUUUUUGUUCAUUUUGAUAUUGUUAUGCAUCUGUUUCCUUUGUUUAAUAUUGCAGAACUUCGACAUAAUGAGGCUCUUUCUAGUAGUAUAUAAAGUUGAUUUUAGAGGAAAGAUAAGGUUGAAAAUAACAGAAUUUGUGCAAGUUUGAUUCUAGUUAUAAAGGAAAAGGUCCAAAUGAACAAAACACAUAAAUUAAGUCAUUCCAAAAGGGAAAAUGAAAACUUUGCAAACAGACAAAAGGUCCAAAUGAAGCACUGCACCAAACAUAAUUUAAAAUAAAAAUGAAACACCAUAGCUAUUAAAAAACAAGCUGAGUUUGCAACAUGUAGGAGCAGAAAAAACAUAUUAGGAAGCAUGGAUCACAGUCAGUCUUCUUCUCUCUUAGGUUGUUUGAGCGAUUUGUGAGUCAAGAGAGCAUCAGUGAGAGCAGUAGUAGAAGUAAGAGAGGCUUUCAGUAUGCUACAAGCCUGCACCAACACAAUUCAUCUCAACAUCUAAACAUAUAUACAAAAUCAAUCAAAUGAUACAGAUUUCAAAUUGUAUUACCUCUUUCAAUCCAAUUCGCAGCUCCAUUUCUUUUACAUCAGAUAUUGAGAUUUUCUUCUCCCUGAGACUGGAAAGGAUCGAGACAAUACAAAAAGGCAACACAGUUAAGUCAUCCUUUACCUGAUAAGUCCGUGGUCCUCGAAGAUAUCUCCCUUGGCCAUUGGGAAACUUAAGAGAAGAAAACAAAAAUAGUUUUUCAAGGUAAAAAGGAGGCAAUGAUUCUUCGGUGAGGGGAAGAAUGUGGUUUUGAGAUAUACAACCAUGUGGCAAAUUGGACUCCAUUAGCCUCUUUUUUGUAUGUGAGCUCUUGAAAUACUUGCAAUUUCUAGGAUCAGCUGUGCUCCGGUAAAGGUUGUCUAUAGCCUUAACACAUGUUUCGCCUCCAAGAAGAUGCUCAGCUCCUCCUAGUGGGAUAUGAAGGAAACUAAAUAGAAACUCCACAAAAUCUUCCUUAGCUUGAGCAUACAAAAACUUGCCGGUAGAUUUUUGUAUAAUCACUUUCAAACUUAAAGCCCUAGAGUUGGCAUUUUCUUCUUCAAUAUUUAGUUGAGAUUCCACUGUUGAAGAGUUCAUCUGUAUUGUUUUAUUCAAUAUGAGGUCCGACAAUGGAGUUGGAGACGUCAAGGAUGCCUUUAACAGGUUCAUAAUCUAAACAAAAUACACAAUUAAUAAGCCAUGAAAACACAGAAUUGAAGAAGAUUGAGAUUAGAGAGUCAAGAAUCACCUCAUUGAACCCUAAAUCAACUUUGAUCAACUCAGCCUUAGGGGUGGCACGGUACGGUAUACCUUAUUAAAUCGACCAUACCUUAUACCUUACCUUUACCUCCGGUAUGGAGAAAAUUNAGUAGAUGUAAGAGAGGCUUUCAGUAUGCUGCAAGCCUGCACCAACAAAAUUUAUUUCAGCAUCUAAACAUACAUUCAGAAAUAUAACAACCAAGAUUUCAAAUAUACAGUUUAAUCACCUCUUUCAGCCCUAUUUGCAUCUCCACUUCUUUGACAUCAGAUAUCGAGAUUUUCUGCUCUUUAAGAGAGGAAAGUGUCGAGGAAAAGCAGAAAGGCGUAACAGUUAAAUCAUCCGCCACGUGAUAAGUUGGGGAUCCUUUUAGAUAACUUCCCUGCCCAUUGGGAAACUUAACCGAAGAUAACAAGUUCAGAUAAUCAUUGUACUCAGCAGGCAAGCAUUCUUCAGCGAGGGGGAAAAUGCAGUGUGCUGAAAUGUAGCCAUGAGGUAGAAUGGGUGUCAUUAGCCUCUUUUUUCGUAUCCGGGGUAAUGAAAUGCUUGCUAUCUGCAAGGUCGGAUGUGCUCCGGUACAAGUUGUCUAUAGCCUUAACACAAGUGUUACCGGCAAGAAGAUGCUCAACUCCAACCAAUGGGAUGUAGAGGAACUAAACAGAAACUCCACAAACUGUUUAUUUGCUUGAGCAUACGCAACCUUACCAGUAGAUUGUUGUAUCAUCACUUUCAAUCUUAAAUUCCUCGAGUUGUUUGGAUUCUCUUCCUCUGUAGUGUGUGGUUGAGUCACCAUGAAUUUAGAGUAAAUCAGCUGUGUUGUUUUAUUUAGGAUGAUGUCCGACAAUGGAGUUGGGGACGUCAAGGAAGCCUUCAACAAAUUCAUAAUCUAACAAUAACAUGAUAUACACAAAUUAAAUAAAUAACUAGUUAUAACAAAGAUUGAGAUUAGAGAAAACCAAAAAUUACCUCAGUGAAGCCCAAAUCCACCUUGAUUUGCUCGGCGUUAUCCAUGUCUGUAAUGCCAAGAUAGCUAAUGACGCCUAAGAGUCCUGUCUCACUUGGAAAUAUGUGGAGAUCAUCAGAUAUUAAGAAAGAUGAUGUAUUCAUGGUGAAAACUCCAUCUCUAGAUGCAGCAGCUUCAGAUCCUUUCUCAACUACUUCUAUUUUCAUAGCAUCAUUAUAUGAGCAAAAUUUGCACCUCUUGACAUGAUCAUAGAAGAUGCUUACGCUACGAAAUCUAAAAGACUGAGGGUGAUAGAAACAAUAGAAAUAUUCAGCAGGCUGAAAAUCAGUGAUGUCGAGUUUCAGCCUCCCGUAUUCAUCUUCCAAUGAACUUGUUGGAUCAAGCAGAGUCUGCUUAGCUCCAUCAGUCCAGACGUAGGAACUGUCGAGAUUUACUAAGCUACGGUAUAAACUGCUUAAGCUACCAAUGGAAGGCGCCUCGUCUCCAUAGUGCUUCUCGAGGACUUUCACAAUUCUUCCCAAUGGCAAACUCAAGAAGCUUAACAAAAUGUCUGCAAAAUGGCUGUCGGAGUCUGCAAAGAGUACCUUAGUUCUCUCUUUAUUGAUCAUCACUUUCAACGAAAAUGUAGCACCCUUUUUAUCAUCAGUCAUUCUUGAAUUUGAUACAGAAGUCGUCACUGCACUAAUUAGUUUAUAUGUGUAUUGAUCUAAUAGUAGAAUAUAAUUAAUGUUUGAGGUUAAAGGUAUCAAGAUUGCUAUUUGGACAUAAUAUGUUCAUAUAUAAAAUGGUCAAAUAUAUAAAAAUCGAUUAAUUUAAAAAUUUUGGCUCAAAAUAAAAAAGGAUUAAUUUAGUUAAUUAAAAAUAAAGACAGCUACAAUGUGAACAAAAUUUUAAAACUAGCUAAUUUUUUUUUAUUUUUUUAAAUCGAAAAUUUUAUAUUAAUUUUAUUUUGUAUAUAUUCAUUCAUGACCCAAAAAAACCCAUCUUUUCGUCAAAUUCUGUCAUUAUUCAAAACCAAAAUCUAGUUUCCUGAGAGUCCAAUUAAAUCCUUCAUAAAGACUAAAAGAAGCUCGAAUUAAACAUCUCUUACUCGGGUAAUUCUAUCUAUAUCAAAGCCUAUUUUUCAGAAAAAUUAAAAUUUAGUGUAUUUUAUUUCAAAUUUUAAAGAUUGCGAGCAAAAUCAAAAUCCGUCUAAAUUUUAUGUAUUUUGUGGCAAUUUACCCAUAAACAUAGUAGUAAUUAACUAAUUAAUAAACAAUUAAAAAUAGACACAGUGUGAACAAGAGAUGAAUAAGUCAAGAAUUACCUGAUUUCCAAAUUUAUAAAAAUUGGGGAUUUUCAAGAGAAAAAAGACAGAUUUUCAAGUCAACCCAGAAGAAAAUAUGUUGUUGGAUGAGGGUGGCUGAGCUCGCGGCGGAGGAAGAAGAGAGGAGUGGAUAGAUGAGUGAGAGAGAAGCACUGUCAUUAUUUGGCUACUAAAGCAAAAUGGAGCAAACAGUUGAGCUAUGCCAUUGGCGAAUCUUUGCUUUUUCACUUUUUUUUUAAACUUCUUUUUCUGUUUUUCAACUUUUUCUUUUCCAUGUUUUUGGUUUGUCGGUUUCACAAAAAGUACUAUUGCAUGACUUUAUUUGACGCAAUUGUAAUUUAAUACUCCGUGCGCCAAAAUUAGACUACUUUGGUUGAGCACGAAAUUUAAUAAAAUUGGUGAUGAUUUUGAUGUAGUGGAGAAAAUGUCCCACCACUUUAUUAGAUGUGUGGUUGAGAUUGAAUUUGGGCUAGUUUUUUUUGUAAAUAAAAAGUGUUUGUAAGGAUAAAAGAUUAAAGUAGGUAGUAGGACCAUUUCCAUAAAAGGAAAGUGGUAUGCUUUUUGCGGACGCUCAAUAUAAUAAAAAUGGUCUACUUUUGGCGGACGGAGGGAGCAUGUUUGAACAAAAAAGUAGUUAAAUACUUUAACAAAUAUAUUUAUUUAAAACUUUUGAUUAAAAAAAUAGUUAUUUUUAUUAUUUUCUCCAUAUUUUAUUUUAUAAUUUUUAAUAUUUUAUUUAAAAAUUGUUAUUUUUAAAGAGCAUAAAAAUUACAAAUAAAAAGUAAAAAUUAAAAUAGCACCUUAGAUUUCUCUCUAUUGAUCAUCACUUUCAACGAAAACGUAGCAUUCUUGUUCUUGUUUUUCUCAGACAUUUUGGUGGAGGCGAAGAUUUUUCUACAAUUCUAUUUUCUUAUUUGUGAAACAUCAACCUUUCAAGUUCAACCAUAUUAAUAUUCCAUUUUCAGGUGUCUUGAAAUUCGGAAUUUGUUGCUGGUUAAUCAAUUUUAAUUAGGAGUGAAUGCAGAAGGUGUGGCUUUUAGUGGGACUAGUGACUCUUGGUUAACUCCUUCCUCAUAAACAAGGGAGUGAAUGUAGAAAAAAAUCGAAUUAGUAUCUUCAUCUGUUAUUUAGAUCUAAAUCCAAACACAGCCAAAUAUAAAACCUAGUAUUAAAAAAGUGACUUGUUUUACAAAAUUUGAUUUGCCUAUUAUAUCCCUCAUAUAUACUUAGAUUAAGGUUAAUUGUGUAAUUUAAUAUAUUAUACUUAUAAUAUAUCUAUAAAUAUAUUAUGGUUUAUCUUUUAUAUUUUAAUAGCUAUUUAAGUAGUAGUAUCCAUUAGGACUCUUCAUCAUAUAAGUUAUUAUUUUUUUAUUACAUAAUUAUAAUAAUUUAGAAUUAAAAUACAAAGGAUUACUUAAGUAAUAGUAUCCAUUAGAAUUAGUAAAUCGAAAGAUUUCAGCGAGUCCUCUCUUUUAUGGGGGAAGAAGUUAACCGAAGAGUCGUUAAUUAGUCCUCCAAAUUCCAAGACACUCUACAAAUUACAAGAAUCAUUAGAGAAAUUAACCAAGCGCCGCUAGUCCCACCAAAUUCCAAGACAUAAACUUGUUAAAUAGGUUUGAUUUAUUUAAUUUAUUUUUUAAAAUAAAAAUAAUUAUUAUUUUUCCUUAUAUUGUUUAUAUUUUAUUUAUUUUUUGUAAUUUUUUAUUUUUUUAGAAAUAAAAUAGAAAAGUGCAAAAAAAAAGGUACAAUUAAUAUAGACAAUACAAUAAAUUAGUUAAAAGCUAUUUUUAAUUUUAAAAAUAAACUAAAUAAAUCAAAAAAAUUAUCCUAUUGAACUAAUUUGUGAGUGGUCCUGAUGUGAUUGCAUAUAUUUAUUGUUUGGUUGAUUUCCCGGUUUUAUUUACGAUUAAAAAAGUGAAGUAGAAGUAUCUCUUCCAACUAAAUUACCGAUUUUGUGUGUAGGUGGAAUACAAUUUAAAUUUGAAUAAGUUUCAUUUUAAACGUAGGUUAUAGAAAUUUGAUGCAUGCAUGUGAUUUUCUUUAUAGGUGUAUUGAGUGAUGUCACACAAUUCUUUAUUCUUUUGAAUUAUUGAAUGAAUUAUAUGUGACAACAAUUUCAUAAAUAUUAGGAGAUCAAAUGAAUUCUUGCUGCUUAAUUCCAAGUUAGCUGCGGACGUUUAAUUUUGUAUCUCAUAAAGAGAGUGAAUGCAGAGAGUCUCGGAAUUUGGUAGGACUAAUGACUCUUAGGUUAAAGUUGUCGUUGAAAGUGAUGAUAAAUAUAGAGAGAAAUGAGGUACACAAUAUAUAUUUCGAAUUUUUACUCAUCCUACUCCAAUAACAUUUAUGAUAAUUCUUAUUUCAACAAACAAAUAAUAGUUACUCCAUCUCAUAUAUUGUGCAACUUAAAUUUUUUUAUACUCAUAUAGUAUUAAAUAAUUAAUUAAAUUUUAAAUAUAAACCAGUUAGGUGAUAAAAUGCAUCUCAUCUAGCUGCUUAAUUCGAAGCUAGCUACUGCAUGGAGUUUAAUUUGAUUUAGUAUCACAUAAAGAGAGCGAAUGCAGACAGAGACGGAUCUAAAGGCCGGGCAGCCUCGGCGGUCGCCCGGUCAUUUUUUUAUUACCUAUAUAUAUAUAUAUAUAUAUAUAUAUAUAUAUAUUAUUAUUUANNNNNNNNNNNNNNNNNNNNNNNNNNNNNNNNNNNNNNNNNNNNNNNNNNNNNNNNNNNNNNNNNNNNNNNNNNNNNNNNNNNNNNNNNNNNNNNNNNNNNNNNNNNNNNNNNNNNNNNNNNNNNNNNNNNNNNNNNNNNNNNNNNNNNNNNNNNNNNNNNNNNNNNNCACUUUAUAAAUAGCUUUCAACUUCUUUAUUUUUCCAAUGUGGGAUGACACUCCACAUUUCCAUCUUCAAUGGCUAUCUUUGGGCAUUAAUUACUCAUUCAAUUCUUAAUAGAUUUGAACAAGUAAAUAUACCAAAUUAAUCUACUCAAAAUGUAGAUUCCAAAUAUACCAUUUAAUUCCAUUAAUUACAAAGUAAUUAUGGACUAAUAAAAGCCAUUUAUUCCAACAAUAUAUAACAACUAAGAUUUCAAAUGAUACAGGUUACCUCUUUCAGCCCGAUUUGCAUCUCCACUUCUUUGACAUCAGAUAUCGAGAUUUUCUGCUGUUUAAGAGAGGAAAGUGUCGAGGCAAAGAAGAAAGGCGUAACAGUUAAAUCAUCGGCCACGUGAUAAGCUGGCGAUCCUUUAAGAUAACUUCCCCGCCCAUUGGGAAACUUGACAGAAGAAAACAUCGAUAUAUUAUCAUAGUCAGCAGGCAAGGAUUCUUCAGUGAGGGGGAAAAUGUAGUCUUUCGAAAUGUAGCCAUGAGGUAGAAUGGGAGUCAUUAGUCUCUUUUUCGUAUCCGGGGUAAUGAAAUGCUUGCUAUCUGCAAGGUCGGAUGUGUUCCGGUACAAGUUGUCUAUAGCCUUAACACAAGUGCUACCGGCAAGAAGAUGCUCAACUCCUACCAAUGGGAUGUAGAGGAAACUAAACAGAAACUCUACAAACUGUUUAUUAGCUUGAGCAUACGCAACCUUACCAGUAGAUUGUUGUAUCAUCACUUUCAAACUUAAAUUCGUAGAGUUAUUUGGAUUCUCUUCCUCUGUAGUGUGUGGUUGAGACACCAUGAGUGUAGAGUAAAUCAGCUGUGUUGUUUUAUUUAGGAUGAUGUCCGACAAUGGAGUUGGGGACGUCAAGGAUGCCUUCAACAAAUUCAUAAUCUAACUAACAUGAUAUACACAAAUUAAAUAAAUAACUAGUUAUAACAAAGAUUGAGAUUAGAGAAAACCAAAAAUUACCUCAGUGAAGCCCAAAUCCACCUUGAUUUGCUCGGCGUUAUCCAUGUCUGUAAUGCCAAGAUAGCUAAUGACGCCUAAGAGUCCUGUCUCACUUGGAAAUAUGUGGAGAUCAUCAGAGAUUAAGAAAGAUGAUGUAUUCAUGGUGAAAACUCCAUCUCUAGAUGCAGCAGCUUCAGAUCCUUUCUUAACUACUUCUAUUUUCAUAGCAUCAUUAUAUGAAGCAAAAUUUGCACCUCUUAACAUGAUCAUAGUAGAUGCUUACGCUACGAAAUCUAUAAGACUGAGAGUGAUAGUAGGAUAUUUACAAUAGAAAUAUUCAGCAGGCUGAAAAUCAGUGAUGUCGAGUUUCAGCCUCCCGUAUUCAUCUUCGAAUGAACUUGUUGGAUCAAGCAGAGUCUGCUUAGCUCCAUCAGUCCAGAAAUAGGCACUGUCGAGAUUUGCUAAGCUACGGUACAAACUGCUUAAGCUACCAACGGAAGGCGGCUCGUCUCCAUAGUGGUGGUCGAGGAUUUUGACAAUUCUUCCCAACGGCAAAGUCAAGAAGCUUAACAAAAUGUCUGCGAAGUGGCUGUCGGAGUCUGCAAAGAGUACCUUAGUUCUCUCUUUAUUGAUCAUCACUUUCAACGAAAAUGUAGCACCCUUUUUAUCAUCAGCCAUUCUUGAAAUAUAUAUGUGGUACAAACAAAGAAAUAUUUGAACAAUGUAAUCGGAAGAUUUCAGCAAACCCUCCAUUUUUAUGGGGGAAGAAGUUAACCUAAGAGUCGUUAGUUUAGUGCCUCCAAAUUCCAAGAAUCGUUAGAAAAAUUAACCAAGCGCCACUAGUCCCACCAAAUUCCAAGACCCAUCGGAUUGUAUUUGAUUAACUUCCCAAUUUUAAAAAAUAAAAAAAAAAAAUAAAAAAAAUCGAUCUAUUUUAGAUUGGAAAAGUGAAGUAGAAGUACCUCUUCCAACUAAUUAAAUUACCGAUUUAGUGUCAAUAUAGACCACAAUUUAAAUUUAAAUAAGUUUCAUUUUAGAUAUAGGUUUACAAAUUUGAUGCAUGCAUGUGAUAACAAUUUCAUAAUUUUUUUUUUGAAACAAUUUCAUAAAUAUUAGGAGAUCAAAUGCAUCCCAUAUGUAGCUGCUCAAUUCCAAGUUAGCUACUGACGUUUAAUUUGAUUUUGUAUCUCAUAAAGAGAGUGAAUGCAAGGAGUCUUGGAAUUUGGUGGGACUAAUGACUCUUAGGUUAACUUCUUCCCCAUAAAAAGGGAGGGUUUGGUGAAAACUAUCGAUUACAUUAUUAUCUCAAGAAUGUCUGAUGUUGAGAAGGAUGUCAAGUUGUCGUUGAAAGUGAUGAUAAACAAAGAGAGAAAUGAGGUACUCUUUGCAGAAGCCGACAACCAUUUCACAGACAUUUUGUUAAGCUUCUUGAGUUUGCCGUUGGGAAGAAUUUUCAAAGUCUUCAAGAAGCACUAUGGUGAUGAGCUUCCUACCAUUGGAAGCUUAAGCAGUUUGUACCAUAGCUUAACAAAUCUUGAUAGCGCCCAUUUUGUGACGGAGGGUGCUAAGCAGACUCUGCUCAGUCCAACCAGUUUAUUUGAAGAUGAAUACAAAAGGCUGAAACUCGAUAUCACUGAUUCUCCGCCUGCUGAAUAUUUCUAUUGUUCAUCCUGUUACCCUCAUGAUAGAUUUCAUAUUAUAAGCAUGUACUAUGACUCUGUUGAGCGUUGCAAAUGUUACCGUAGUAUGAUGAAAGAAGUAGCUAAAAAAGGGUCUGAAGCAGCUAGUGAUGGAGUGUUUACUAUACGUAAAGCAUCUUUCACAAUCUCUGAUGAUCUUCAAAUAUUUCCAAAUGAGAUUGGACUCCUACCAAUCACCACCCUUCUUGGCAUUACAGAUGCCCAUAAGGCUGAGGAAAUCAAAGUGGAUCUUGGCUUCAAUGAGGUGAUUUCUUGAAUAUUCUCUAAUUAAUCUCAAUCUUUGUUAUAACUAGUUAUUUAUAUUUUGUCAUUUUUGUGUUUAUAUGGUUGUUAGAUUAUGAAUUUGUUGAAGGCUUCCUUGACGUCCCCAACUCCAUUGUCGGACGUAAUCCUGAAUAAAACAACAACACAGAUGAACUCUGCAAAGAUUCCGUUGCAUGAGAUUGUAGAGAAAAAAAACCCCAAUUCUAGGAAUUUAAGUUUGAAAGUCACCAUACAAAAAUCUACAGGUAAGUUUCUGUAUGCUCAAGCUAAGGCAGAUUUUAUGGAGUUUCUAUUUGGUUUCUUCAACAUCCCACUAGGAGGAGUUGGGCAUCUUCUUGCUGGCAAGACUGGUUUCAAGGCUAUAAACAACUUGUAUCGGAGCACAACUGACCUUAUAAACGACAAGUAUUUCAAGACCUCGGAUAUGAAAAGAAGGCUAAUGAAACCCAACUUGUUUCAUGGUUGCACUUCCAAAAACAACAUUCUUGCUCUUGUCGAAGAACCCUUGCCUGAUGACUUCGAUAAAGCUGAAUUUUCUUCAGUCAAGUUUCCCAAAGGGAAGGGUAGGUAUCUUGAAGGAGCAGCAACUUAUAAGGUGACAGAUGACUUAACUGUGACCCCUUUUUGCACUGUCUCCAUUCUUUCUACUCUGAAUAGCUUGAAAAUCCCAAUAAAUGACGUCGAAGAAAGGGAUCUGCAAAUCGGAUUGAAAGAGAUAAUCAUUGAAUCUUUUUAUAAAUGAUUUUUUUUAGCAUAUUUUGAGAUGAAGUUUGUUGGUGCAGGGCUUGAGCAUACUGAAAGCUUCUCUUACAUCCACUUCUGCUCUCACAGAUUCUCUCCUCAGUCAUAAAUCGAGCAAGAAACGGAAGAAAGAACUCGCAGGCUGAUCCUUGGUUGCAACUAUUACAAAUAUUAGCAACUCUAUAUAUGGUGCUUAUAUUUGCUUUUGCUUUUUAUUGUGAUCCUAAUAUUUUCAAGGACCUAUUUUUCAUAUGCAAGUUACUGUUUUUGUUUCUGUGUUGUCCUUAUAUGAGAGAAAGCAUACUCUUGAAAUUACUUCUAAUUUAUUGACAAUAUUGCCUCGCUCACAUGAUCAGACGAAUCCACCCUAAAAAAUAACUACUGAAACUUGAAAAAAUUUACACUAAACUUGCAAAUAAUAAAAAGAUUUUCUUUUUCAUUUCUUGGAAUCGUGCAACAGGCUGAUAUCGAGGAUGAGAUCUAGUGUACCAUAAACGAUGUCUCAUUCCAUGUCUCACUAUUAAAAUGACGUAGUUUUAAUUAUAACUCUAAUAUGUACAUAAUUGAUAUCAUCAUUCUAAAGUAAAGGAAGGAAUUACACAAAAAAUCAUAUGGUUCUUUUGCUUCCCAAUUUGUUCUUCUACUCAAAUCCAAAUCAUUCUGCCGGUAAGGCUUGUGUUAAGGCUAUAGACAACAUGUAUUAGAACACAUGUGAAUAUAUGGAUAACGUAUCUCAUAACCUCGGAUACGAAGAAGAGGAUAAUAAAACCUAAUGUGGUUCAUGGCUGUAUAGAGAGAAACACUUACAUCCCCUUCUGUUCUCACCGAUGAUCUCCUAACUCGCACAUCGAAUAAACAAAUAAUUGGAGAAGUAUGAGUUUGAUCCACACAACAAUUUUGCUGCAUAAUUAUAUAACUAAUAUUGUUUGCUUAUGUUAAUAGCUAUGGUUCUUAAAUUAAACAAUCUUCAUAGUGUAUUAUGAGAGUUAUGCAUCUAUUGAUCUCUUUGAUGAUGCAUUGUUUAAAUCAUUUAAAAAUUCAAUAAAAUACAUUAUUUCAAAUGUUUACUCAUCCUAACCCAAUAACAUGUACGAUAAUUCUUAUUUCAACAAACGAACAAUAGGUACUCCAACUCAUAAAUUCUAAUUAGCAAAAUAUUACUUAUAGAUUUUCGUUUUUGUGACUUCCUAUCAUAUCUGGGCUCGGAUCACAAAGAAGGAUGACAAUGGGCUCAUAUCUACAUUUGGUCUAGAUCCAUUAACUUUGAAAAAAAAAUUAAAUAUAGGUCAAAAUUCAUAAAAUCCACAACUAAUUUAUGUAAUUCGAUUAAUUUAUUUAAAUUGGUUAUUGCAAUUGAAGUUAGCAAAAAUAAAUAAAGGAUAAAUCCUUUCGGAUCAAAUUGAUCCGAAUCAAUGAUAAUAAUAUUGUCAAAAUAUUUAAAUUGAAAAUGUAUCUUACCUUAAAUGCCCUUAAUAAAAAUUUAGAAUUCAAAAUAUUAAAUUUAUUAUUCAUAUACAUAAAUUCAAAUGUUUUUCCAUUUUUCUAGGCCAUUAAUUGAAUUCGUAAAUAUAAAAAUUGUACGUUAGUCUCCUUAAAUUUAUGAACUUAAUUAAAUGAAUUUAUGAUUAUAACAAUUUCGGUUAGUCUAUCAAUAAAAUUAUGAAUCUUCUUCCAAGUCUCCUGAGCUUUAUGCAAAGUAUCACGAUUGCAUCGAACGAAAAUUUAAACGAAUAAUCAACUAAAAAUUAAUUAAAAUGGCGAAUCUUCUUCCAAGUUAGACUCUGGUGGGACGACGUUUGGUUAGUUUCUCUAUCUCGUAAAAAGGUAGUGAUAUCAAUGCGUAGAAUCUUGGAAUUUGGUUGGACUAAUGACUCUUUGGUGGGUUAAUUUCUUGCCUUAAAAAAAAGCGAGGGUUUGCAGACAAAUCUUGAUAGCAAUCUAAGUUUUCAUCUCCAUUACCACAAAUAUUACUAAUUUUCUACACAUUUUAGCAGAAUGUCUGAUGCUAAUAAAGAUGUCAAGUUGUCGUUGAAAGUGAUGAUGAAUAAAGAUAAAACUAAGGUUCUCUUUGCAGAAGCCGACGGCCAUUUUAUAGACAUUUUGUUAAGCUUCUUGACUUUGCCGUUGGGAAGAAUUAUCGAAAUCUUCCACAACCAGUAUGGAGAAAAGGCACCCACCAUUGGAAGCUUAAGCAGUUUGUAUCGUAGCUUAGAAAAUCUCGAUGACGCCCACUUUGUGACGGAGGCUGCUCAGCGGGCUCUGCUCUAUCCAAUCAGUUCAUUUGAAGAUGCAUACAAAAGGCUGAAACUGGACAUCACUGAUUCUCUGCCUGAGAAGUAUUUCUGCUGUUUCUUAGCCUCUCAUGGUAGAUUUCCUAGUUUAAGCAUCUACUAUGAUAAUCUCACUUGCAGAAUCUGUGGCAAUAUGAUGAGAAAAGAAGCAGCUAAAAACCUAUCUAGAGCUUCUUCGAGUGAUGGAGUGUUCACGAAAAGUAAAGCAUCUUUCACAAUCUCCGGUGAUCUGCAAAUAUUUCCAAAUGAAAUUGGGCUCCUACCAUUCAUCACCCUUCUUGGCAUUACAGACGCGCAUGAGGCGGAGGAAAUCCAAGUGUCGUUUGGGUUCGAUGAGGUGAUUCUUGUUUCUUUAAUCUCAAUUUUCCACCUUUUUUUUGGGAUUAAUUGGUUAUAAUCCAGAAAGGGGUUAGUGCCUAGAUUAGAAUCGUAAUUUUAGGAAAAUUUCGAAAAUAAUCCAAGUUGAUCAUGGCUUUGUUAGUUUGUUUACUAAUCUAUACCUAUAAAAUUUGAUUCGUCUAUAAUAUCUGUCAUAUAUAUUUAUUUUAAGGUUAAUUGUGUAUUUUAAUAUUUUUUAUAUAUAAUAAAUCUAAAAAAAUAAGUUAUGAUUUAUAUUUUAAUUAGUAUUUAAGUGGUAGUACCUAUUAGGACUCUUCAUCCACAUAAAUUACUGUUCUUUAUUCUCUAAAGUUAGUAAUUUAGAAUCACAGUAUUACUUAAUACUAGUUUUAUUAGAAGAAUUCUUGGAUUAAAAUUAAUUAUAUAAAGAUGAAACCUAGAAAACAAACAUGAAUUUUAUAUACUUUUAUUUUUGGUUAUGUUUUUUUCUGUGGACGUCCAAAAUUAGUUGGUACUUAAUAAAUUAAAAUUAAAUUUCAUACAAAAUUUAGAUAUUACAUAACUUUUAAAAAAUUAUUGUCAUAAAAGUUACUCCCUCUUUCCACGAAAGAAUUUCCUAUCUUUCCUUGUUGGGAUGUCCACAAAAGAACUUCCUAUUUAUUUUUGGACUAUACCCCACCACUUAUGAUCUUCUUACUUUUCAAUUUUCACAACUCUCAAUAUUAAUUAUAACACUUUUUCACCACUUCUAGUACACUCAACUACCUUUUAUCCACUCUCAAUACACUCAACAAUAUUUUUUCUUAAAAUUCAUGUCACUUCCUCCUAGAAAGUUCUUUUAUGGACGGAGGGAGUGCUAUAUAGUAUUAAAGUAAUUCAUUUUUACGGGCAAACACAAUCAUUUCUGCUAGUAAUCUAUAUAAAUUUGUAGCCGAUUAACCCUUUUUUUUUUAAUGAGAUGUUAGAUUAUGGACUUGUUGAAGGCAUCAUUGACGUCGCCAACUCCAUUGUCGGACCUCAUCCUACGUAAAAAAACAAAGAGUUCAACUGCAGCUAUUUCAAUGCAUGAAAUUGUGAACGAGAUAAACCCCAAGUGUAGGAAUUUAAGUUUGAAAUUGAUGAUACGAAAAUCCACCGGUGAGCUUUUGUACGCUCAAGCUCAGGAAGAUUUCGUAGAGUUUCUAUUUGGUUUGCUCACCAUUCCACUAGGAGGAUUGGAGCAUCUUCAAGCCGGCAAGUCUUGUUUUACGGCGAUAAACAACUUGUAUCGGAGCACGGCUGAACUAGACGACAAGUAUUUCAAGACCUCGGAGACGAAGAAGAGGCUUAUGAAUCCCCAUUUGCCUCAUGGUUGCAUCUCCCCAAACCAGAUUCUUCCCCUCACUGAAGAAUGCUUGCCUGCUGAGUACAUUGAUAAUCUCUCGCUCUUUUCUUCGGUUGCGUUUCCUGAAGGCCAGGGAAGAUAUCUCGAGCGACCAACAACUUAUUUGGUGAGCGAUAAUUUGACUGUGACUCCUUACUUUACUGUUUCUGCUCUUUGCCGUAUGAAUAAGGAGAAGAUUCCGAUAUCUGAUGUUGAAGAAAUGCAGCUGCAAAUUGGAUUGAAAGAGGUAAAUACAACUUUGAUAGCUUUUAAUUGUAUAUAUGUUUAGAUGUUGAGAGCAAAUUUGUUGAUGGGUGCAGGCUUUGAGCAUACUGAAAGCUUCUCUUACAUCCACCACAGCUCUCUCCGAUGCUCUGCUCAAUACUUACCCGUCGCACAAACGACAAAAGAAAUAAUUUUGAUUGCAUCGUUUGAAUGUCCCUUGAUGGAAAAUAAUAAUGAGCUUAUGAAAGCUAGUAUUGUAGACAUAAUUUAUGAGUUUUCAAAGAAGUAUUCUCUUGUGCCAGUUAAUUAAGAUCUUCGAGUCUAAAAUAGACGUCUUAAUUUUGUUAUUUGUUCAUUCAUUAAAAACUCUGAUUUUGCUAAUAUCACUGUGGAUCUAGUUUCCACCAAUUUAUAUUUUAUUCAUAUUUAAUAUAAAUUAAUUUCAAAGCUAUUUCUAAUUAAUAUAAAAAAAAUUUAUUAUUUUAUAAAUAUUGUAUAACAAAAUUAACAAAAUUAGUAAUUAUUUUAGUUUUUACUUUUUAUUUGUAAUUUUUAUGCUUUAAAAAUAAUAAUUUUUAAAAAAAUUAUAAAAAUUACAAAAAUAAUAAUUAGCAACUAUGGUGCUUAUGUUUGCUUUUGUUUUUUCAUAUGAUCCUAGAUAUUCCAGUCACUUAGACCUUUUCUUCAUAUGCAAAUUAUUUGUUUUUUGUUUCUGUAGAAAGCAUAAUCUUGAAAGUUAUACAACUAAAAUCGAACUGUCAAAUGGAAUUACUCCAAUUUAAAAUGUCGAAAUAUUCAUUGACAAUAUAUACUACCUCGCUAACAAAAUCAGAGCAAUCCACAACUAAAAAUAACUACUGAAACUUGAAAUAGUUUACACUAAACUUGCGACGAAUGGAAAAAAAAUAAGAUUUCCUUUUUCAUUUGUUGGAAUCCCACACCAUGUCCAACUAUCAAAACCAUCUGACAUUUAAACAAAAUCAUGUUUAUAUUCCAAAAAUUAUUAUUUCUCACACCCGAAAGAUGACGGGUGAUAUCUGAUGUAGCCUAAAUAUUUGAAAGCUAUAGUGAAUAAAGAGAUGCAACGUGCUACGAUUGUGAGAAUCUUGAAGAAGCACUAUUUGAAUCUCUGAAUAUCUAGUUGUAGUGAUUUCUGGUUAUAUCAUUUUUUGCAUUUUCGUUUUAUGUUUUGUGGUAUAUGCAUAUUAAGAGCAUCCCUUACAUCUGAUUAUGAUUCUGCUUGGCAUUAUCAUAAAAUCUGAGGCACAAAAAAUCUCUCUUUUGUAAGAAGUCAUUAAUUAUUUCAAGUUCCACGGCCGUGAGUUCAAUUUUCAUUUGAUUGGAUAUUUAGUCUGGUUCUUGUAUUGUGAGCAUUCAGUAUGAAAUAGUGAUUAAAUUAUGAAAUUACAUUGUGAAACGAACAAUUUGAACAUACAAAAAGUGAAAUAGUUUUAAAAUGAUGAAUGGAAAAACAAGAACCAUAGUUAAAACAACAUAAAAGCACAAUGCAAAGCUAUGAAUUUAAGCCAACAAUGUCACAUUUAUGAGCAGCAAAACAAGAUCUAAAAGCAUGGAUCACACUCAGACUUCUCUCUUUGGUUGUUUGAUUGAUAUGUGACUCAAUAGAGCAUCAGAAAGAGCAGAAGUGGAUGUAAGAGAGGCUUUCAGUAUGCCCAAAGCCUGCACAAAAGAAGACAAAAUCAACAUGUAAACAUAUGCUCAAUCAUGCACAAAUAAACUCGAAGCAAACGAGAUAGUAUUUGCAUAUAGAAAAAAGAUUCAAACGAAUGGAAAAUCAAGAUACAUAACUUAAAAUAACAAUGAAGCACACAAUAACUAUUAAUAUAACAUAUAAGCCAAUAUUUGCAACAUAAAUAGGAAGAAUGGAUAUCACACUUCUCUCUUUGGCUGUUUGAUUGAUUUGCCACUCAGAAGAGCAUCAGUGAGAGCAGUAGUAGAAGCAAGAGAGGCUUUCAGUAUGCUGCAAGCCUGCACCAACACAUUUUAUCUCAACAUCUAAACAUAACUAAAUAUAACAACCAAGAUUUUAAAUGAAAGUUUACCUCUUUCAGCCCUAUUUGCAUCUCCACUUCUUUGACAUCAGAUAUCGAGAUUUUCUGCUGUUUAAGAGAUGAAAGUGAUGAGGCGAUGCAAAAAGGUGUAACGGUUAAAUCAUCAGCCACGUGAUAAGUUGGAGAUCCUUUAUGAUAACUUCCCUUCCCAUUGGGAAACUUAACAGAAGAAAAAUGGCUUCUAUCAUUGUAGUCAGCAGGCAAUCUUUCUUCAAUGAGAGGGAAAAUGUGGUCUUUCGAAAUAUAGCCAUGAGGUAGAAUGGGAGUCAUUAGCCUCUUUUUCGUAUCCGGGGUAAUGAAAUGCUUGCUAUCUAUAAGGUUGGAUGUGUUCCCGUACAAGUUGUCUAUAGCCUUAACACAGGUGUUACCGGCAAGAAGAUGCUCAACUCCUCCCAGUGGGAUGUAGAGGAAACUAAACAGAAACUCUACAAACUGUUUCUUAGCUUGAGCAUACAAAAACUUACCAGUAGAUUGUUGUAUCAUCACUUUCAAACUUAAAUUCCUAGAGUUAUUGGGAUUCUCUUCCUUUCGCA
rnacentral:lncRNA from 1 species